CCCUUUUCCCGGCGCGGCUCGGUGCGCAUGCGACUUGCCCAGUUAGGCAGCACGGAGCCGCGCCAGGGAUCCCGGACGCCCGAAAAGAUUCCUGCUCCCUUGGGCCGAAACCUGGCUCUGCAGGCGCCCAGUUCCCUGCCCCGGCCGGGAAGGGCACCGGUUACUAGAAAGCCGGGGAGGCGGGGCCUGGUCGGGUGGAGGGCGCGGCCGGCCGGCGGAGCGCUAGCCUUAGGUCCUGGAGGCUCUUUGGCUUUCCCCCCGUGUGCCGGGGGCGAGGAGGAGGAGGAAGAGCUUCCUGCCGGAUGAGGGAUCCGGAGGCCAGAAAGGGAACCCGCUCUCCCUUCCAAAGCAAAACACUGCAGACGCCAGGUUAGAUUUUUCGGGUGUUGGCAGGAGACUUUUUCCCCCAGUGGCAUCACUCGCGUUUCCUCUCCUGGUGCUGGGAGUGAAGAGUUGAAGAGGCGCCUGGACCGCCAGUGACAUCCUCUCCCAUCUGGAGGAGCGAGGCUUGGGUUGCUUCUUAUUGGUGGGUGGGUUUGGGGAAACAGGGCAUGCGCCUUCGGCCGGAGGAGGGAAGCGAAAGGACGUCGGGAUUUAUUUGCUCAUUUGGAGAUUUUCCCCCGGCCUUUUAUAAAAACCAAGUGACAGUAUGAUGGAAGAUGGGGAAUGAAGCAUCAGAAAUAAACCAGGACCCUAAUUUGCAUGGAUUUCCUCGUUGCAACAACGUGUGACUACUACGUAUCUUCGGGAAAUGACUUCCCUUGAUGCGUUAAGGCACUCUUGGUCCACAGGGGAAAGCACAUUUCAGUGCUUCUACUGGAGAAGAGAUCUUUACAAUCUUAAUUCCUAGUAAUUCCUAUGUUUUAAUGAAUAUCAUUUGGAUUUGAAAUAAAAAGCCAUCUUCUUGUUUCAAAAAAUACACUUUACUUUUUUGGCUAUAAAAUCCUCCCUUUAAAGUAACAUUCACCUCAGUAAACAUUUUCAGUUCUUGCUGUAUGCUCCGGGCAAAAGAACAUCAAACUGAAUCACUUAUUCAGAUACUUGAUCCUUCACCUAAGGAUUUUUCUUUCAGGAGUGGGAAAACAUGAUUUGUUAAUUGACCCCAUCAUAUAACAGAAGAUAUUUUGGUCGACAUUUUUGCCUGUUCAGCAUUCAUUCCCUAUUCUGAUAAUUUCCUUUGAAGAACUAUCAUUUAUCCACUCUCAGUCCACAUGGUCUGAGCAGGACACAGGGGGAAAGCAUAUUUGAGUUUAAUCCUCUGUUGCAAACUAAGUUCCUAAGAAAGGUUUUACCUCUUUACCAGUGGGUUUAAAUCUGGGAGAAUGGAAACCUGGAGCCGUCUUUCCACACGUGAAUUCUGAGAAAGAAAGCAACAUGGAAAAUAAGCAGAUUUGAAGACAAGAGGUUUGGCCUAAACACAUGUUUGAGGCCCUGAAACAAAUGUGGACUAGAUUCCUCUGGAAAUUUCAUUAAACCAGUCAGUAAAUU
rnacentral:lncRNA from 1 species